GGGUACUGUACUAAACUAACUAAAGUGGGGGAUAGUGAGGGGAUAAAUUUUCUUAAGGAACUCGGCAAAAUCCCAAUGGCCCACCAGGGCAUAUUGGAACACGGGCCUCGACUGUUUACCAAAAACAUAGCCCUCGGCUAAUAUGAAAAUAGAUGUAUAGAGGGUGAUGCCUGCCCAAUGGUUGUAUCUAAAAGCGGUUGAUAAAAGUUGACCUCGUAAGGACAAUUGAAUGGCCGCGGUAACACUGACCGUGAUAAUGUAGCGUAAUCAAUAGCCAAUUAAUUGUUGGCCAGUAUGAAUGGCGCCACGAAGGCCCCACUGUCUUAAGGAAAUUCCCAGUGAAAUUGAAUUCGUAGUGAAGAUGCUACGUCCAAUUUGUUAGACGAAAAGACCCCGUUGAGCUUUACUGGAGCACUUACAUGGCCCCGGCCUUCCCAUGCCUGGGAACCGGCCGAAUUUAAAUGGGCGGCUUAGAUUAUGUGGCAGCCCCCCGCUGGGGCAAAUGAAACACCACUCCCCCAUGUCAAAGGGGCUAACCCCCCCCCUUGGGGGGACAGUGUAAGUAGGACAGUUUGGUUGGGGCGACCACCUUUUAAAAAGUAACGAAGGUGCGCUUAAGGUGCGCAAUUAAUGACUGAAGCCUGACUGCGAGGGGGACACCCCGAGCAGACACCCCAAAGCCCGCCCGAAAGACGCCGUUGGGGUGGGCCAUAGUGACCCGUUAAUUUAGAGUGGAAUAGUUAACGAUCAACGAAUAAAAGUUACCACGGGGAUAACAGCGUAAUAUCGUUAGAGAGUUCACAUCGACGACGAUGUUUGCGACCUCGAUGUUGAAUUGCGGCAUCCUGGG
rnacentral:rRNA from 1 species